GUGGGGAAUCUUGCGCAAUGGGCGAAAGCCUGACGCAGCCAUGCCGCGUGAAUGAUGAAGGUCUUAGGAUUGUAAAAUUCUUUCACCGGGGACGAUAAUGACGGUACCCGGAGAAGAAGCUCCGGCUAACUUCGUGCCAGCAGCCGCGGUAAUACGAAGGGGGCUAGCGUUGCUCGGAAUUACUGGGCGUAAAGGGCGCGUAGGCGGACAGCUUAGUCAGAGGUGAAAGCCCAGGGCUCAACCUUGGAAUUGCCUUUGAUACUGGCUGUCUUGAGUUUGGGAGAGGUGAGUGGAACUCCGAGUGUAGAGGUGAAAUUCGUAGAUAUUCGGAAGAACACCAGUGGCGAAGGCGACUCACUGGCCCAAUACUGACGCUGAGGCGCGAAAGCGUGGGGAGCAAACAGGAUUAGAAACCCCUGUAGUCC
rnacentral:rRNA from 1 species